GUCCCUGUUCUGGAACAGCAGCCCAGAGAGAUGGUGACUCAAAAGAACACCCUCCAAGAAGACAGGAGGACCAGGCGGCUGAUGUCAUGCCCAGCGUCUUCAAAGCCCUUUCUGCUGCCUGGGUGCUGUCAUUCCCAAUUCCAUUCCACUGGUGGCUCCUUAAGGAGCGGGUCAGACGUCAGAGCAGUUUGAAGUCCAGCACCCUGUCCUGCUCCUGCUGCAACCAAGUCUGCAUGCUUCCUGGAUACAGGAUCAGACCCUGUUCCUCAUACCACAGCCUGCACUAGCCUGUGUGCUUCCCAUAACGUCUGCUCAAGCAGAACAGCCUCGCAAACCUGCUCCAAGACUGUUGUGGCCCCCAUCACAUUCCUGUUGCAACAAGCCCUCUUCUCGAUUUGUCCUUGGACCCCAUCUUCAUCCUGUAAAGAUUCCUGCGAAGUUAUUUCCCUCCCUUGAAGAUAUCCCCCUUGCCUGCCCUCAGUAAACUCACUAAAUCGACUUAGCAGAGUUCCUUACCGUAGAUAUCUCUUCUUAGUGGUUUUCCAACCACCUGCCCUUGGCCAGGAAUCGCAGAUUUUCUUGAGUUUGGAGUUGAGCUCAGCUCUUUGGCCUACUGUAACAACACUGAA